rnacentral:rRNA from 1 species
UACGAAGGGGGCUAGCGUUGCUCGGAAUCACUAGGGCGUAAAGGGUGCGUAGGGCGGGUCUUUUAAGUCAGGGGUGAAAUCCUGGAAGCUCAACGUCCAGAACUACGCCUUUGAUACUGAGGAGUCUUGAGUUCGGGAGAGGUGAGUGGAAGCUGCGAGUGUAGAGGUGAAAUUCGUAGAGUAUUACGCAAGAACACCAGUGGCGAAGGCGGCUCGACUGGCCCCGGAGUACCUGAAGCGGCUUGAGGCUACGGAAAGGCAUGGGGAAGCCA